AUGAUUAUCCUUGCCUGGAACUGCCGAGGCUUGGGGUUGGACUCGGCCGUUGGCGAGCUUCGGGACCUGAUUAGGUCAUACAACCUAGAGGUGGUGUUCUUAUCAGAAACAAAGAAGAGAUCCGGAGCGAUGGAUAGACUCAAGUGGAGUUUGGGGUUUACCAAAGGGGUAGCGGUGUAUUGCAAAGGCAAGAGUGGAGGUUUAGCACUAUGGUGGAGGGACCAUGUUGAUAUUAUAGUUAGGGCGUGGUGCCAAUAUUACAUUGAUGCGGCCAUUGCGUGUGAUGGUGCCUCCUUUAGGUUCACUGGAAUCUAUGGAGAGCCAUGCAUUGACAAAAGAACGAAGACGUGGGAGGCAAUACGCUAUCUUCGUGCCUAG
rnacentral:rRNA from 1 species